rnacentral:ncRNA from 1 species
UUUAAAGCGUUGAAAGGGAAUAGUAAAUAAACGUUUUGGCGAAAGAGAGUGGAAUUCACCGGCUGAAAGAUUCCAUCGCAAAAAAACUUAUUGAACCUGCCCUGGAGCUGUUAGGCCAAACCCUAGCCGUCUUACCUGCGUUAACGGUUAAAGAGGACAUCUCAUAGAUGUCAAUUAAGGUGGUACCGCGGAUAACCUUCCGUCCUUUUU